rnacentral:rRNA from 1 species
GACGAACGCUGGCGGCGUGCCUAAUACAUGCAAGUCGAACGCUUUUUCUUUCACCGGAGCUUGCUCCACCGAAAGAAAAAGAGUGGCGAACGGGUGAGUAACACGUGGGUAACCUGCCCAUCAGAAGGGGAUAACACUUGGAAACAGGUGCUAAUACCGUAUAACACUAUUUUCCGCAUGGAAGAAAGUUGAAAGGCGCUUUUGCGUCACUGAUGGAUGGACCCGCGGUGCAUUAGCUAGUUGGUGAGGUAACGGUUCACCAAGGCAACGAUGCAUAGCCGACCUGAGAGGGUGAUCGGCCACACUGGGACUGAGACACGGCCCAGACUCCUACGGGAGGCAGCAGUAGGGAAUCUUCGGCAAUGGACGAAAGUCUGACCGAGCAACGCCGCGUGAGUGAAGAAGGUUUUCGGAUCGUAAAAACUCUGU